rnacentral:misc_RNA from 1 species
GAUGAAGAACGCAGCGAAAUGCGAUAAGUAAUGUGAAUUGCAGAAUUCAGUGAAUCAUCGAAUCUUUGAACGCACAUUGCGCCCUCUGGUAUUCCGGGGGGCAUGCCUGUUCGAGCGUCAUUAUAACCACUCAAGCUCUCGCUUGGUAUUGGGGUUCGCGGUUUCGCGGCCCCUAAAAUCAGUGGCGGUGCCUGUCGGCUCUACGCGUAGUAAUACUCCUCGCGAUUGAGUCCGGUAGGUCUACUUGCCAGCAACCCCUAAUUUUUUUUAAGGUUGACCUCGGAUCAGGUAGGGAUACCCGCUGAACUUAAGCAUAUCAAUAAGCGGAGGA